GAAAUGGCUAAAGGUUUUCUUUUUUUUUGCAAUUUUUUUUAUUUGAUACUAAAUUUUUCUUUAGCCACAAAAAACUUGAUCCGAACUCUGAACAGCAGUCAACUCACCUGCUGUUAGCUCGUCAAAGAAGCACCAGUCUAUUUUUAAUAUUUAGAAUAUUUUGAUGUGAAUUUUUGAUAGUUGAAGUGCUACAUGGUUUCAGCACUGACAGAAUUACUUCUGCCAUAGCUGUAGUGCUUUUCUCUCAAUUGCAUCCAGUCAAACAAAUAUCACGUUUUUGAGAAACAAAGCAUAUGAACAUUAUUCUGCUCAAAGUUGUCUACAUAAUCACAAAAGAUGAUGAAAGAAAUAUUUUAAAAUACAUGAAUUAUGCGCUUAGAAGACAUGUAUUCAGUCUGAAAGUCUAAUACCAUCAACUGUAGCGGCCACUCUGGUAUGGGUGAAAGGAAGCAUUAAGAAUAUAAUGGAAUGUAUAAAUGGAAGUGGAAGAAGUGUAAAGGGGAAAGCAGCCUGAAAAUGGUGUGGUUUCAUUUAGAAUGUUCUCUUUCAAAGCCCCUCUCUACAGACAACAAGUCAUUCCAUGUCCCGACCCAACUGUUCACUGUGGAGGGUGAAGGUGUGGGCAGCUGUGGUGGGCAGAGCUGCUGCCAAGGCCUGGGCAGCUGGGGCAGCUCCUCCAGCACCACGCUCACCUGGCAUUCCCAGAGACCUGAGGGGGCUUCCAGAGGUCUUGGUCUUGCUGGUGCCCUGCCCACGGAUGGGCUGUCCCCAGCACUGCUGCUGUGAGCACACUGAGUGCCGGUGGAGGAAGUGUCUGGAUCUUGGGCUGGCUGCUGUUCCUGAGCACACACUGGGUUUUUGCUCAGCCUUUACACAGUUGGGAGCAGACUCGUGGUGCUGGUACUGUGAGGGAGAAGAAUCCAGUCAUCUGCUGUGUAACUCACCGUCCUCACCUGACUGUAUUCCCAACACCCUCCUGCAGCAGUGCUGCUGGAGCGCCCACAGCUGCUCACAGCUGCUCUUUGGUCCCCCGUGUUUCCAGUGCUGGUGUUCCCCGUGCAUACUCGGGUUAUGUGAAGACAAACAUGGGACAGAUGCAUCUACUACAGCUUGUCUGUACUCUGCCCAAGUGGAAUACUGCUUUUGAAAACCUUGUAACUCGGGUGUGUUACAUUUAACAAUGAGAGUGAAAGGAUUUCUCCCAUCUCAGUUUUCUUUGAAGCUCAAAUGUAAAAUACAUAAUGAGGAUCACUUUUCUUAAAUGAAAAUACAAGACUUCAGUAUGUAAAAAAAAAAAUCCAACAUGUUACUGCUUUGACUGAACAAUCAGAACAACUGUCCUCUGCUAAACAAACCUUCUUGUCCUGGGUUAGAGUGGCAUGCAUGAAAUAGUUGGGACAUGCAGCAUGGUUUGGUUACAGAACUAGAAACAGGUACAGUUCUAGCAGUUGCCAUUGCAAAAAAAUAAUGCAGAAAAAGAGAGGAAGGGACCAUUAGCACCAGCUAGACUUUUUUGUGUGUUGGCACUACACACCCAUUUUCUGUGCUAAUAGGAGGUGUCUGUGGAAGAGAUAGUGGUGACCCACUGGCAGGUGCUCAAGCUGUGUAUUUAACAAGGGCAUUUCAGAGCCAUUGCUAGCCUGGCUUUGGGGGAAUGGGCAUGCAGGAGUGCCCAGUUCCCUGCAUGCACAGCAAGGAGCCGUGCAGGGCAUGUUGGUGAUGGAGAGUGGUGGGGAACAAGGGCAUGGGGAUCCCUCUCACCAUGGCAGAGGUGUUCUGGGGGCUGUGCCCCAGUCCAGGCUCUGCUUGGCCCAAGGUACAGCAGCUUUAACAUGAAGCCCUUAUACACUGUAACAGCAUUUCCACAGCGUUCUCGACUGCGUGGGACAGCUCUGGGAUUCCAGGCUGUCUGCUGCUCCUCCAUAGUUUUGUGAGCAUGUUUGCUAUUUUUGGAGUGCAAAUCUCUCAGUAACUUCCUGGCCCCUGGCACUAGAUGGAGCUUCAAUCUACUUGCACUUGGAAGUCGUCAAGUUUAACCACAAGUUAAAAAUAGGGAAGAAUAAAUGAAGAUAUGCAUGCCUGCUGCUACACUUACAGUGCCUCUUUCCCUGUUUGUUAGCAGAGUGGUGUAAAUUAUAAUGUAAAUUUAAUUUAAAUGAAAAUUAAAAUAUUGCAGGAGAAUCUCCUUGAUCUAGUACAUGCUUUAUAAUCACUAGCACCCUUUAAUGUACUCUGAGGCCCAUGGCAGAAAUUGCUGUAACUUAGAUAUGCUGGAAAUGUGCUGCAUAUUAAAGCUAAUGCCUAGGCUGGGCAGAAUAGAGGUAAUGCCAUUUCUGAACAAAGUACCUGGUUAUAUUUCAGGAUGCAUGUGGGUGACCACCACUUCUGUUUGCUGUGUUCUUGCAAGAAUUCAUUUGCAUUUUCCCUUUGUGCUACCAAAGCCAACAAUUCAGAAUCAUCUGUUGUCGGUCACUUCAUUUUCCCUCCGUGUGUUACCCUUAGAAAUAUUGAACAAAUGGAAAGAAAUCAGAAAAAAAAGCUUUGAAAACGCAGUGUUUGAUACUUUUCAUUUAGCAAGCACCGUAUCUCGCAGGCCACAUGCACGUAUCAGAAAUUUGAGACCAUCUCUGCCUUCCACAGAAGUAACUGGAAGUAGAUUUAGUUUUAUUCUUGUGUGCCCAUGUUCUUAUCAGCAAGAGACUGGUUCAGUUAAACCCCUUGUCCAGGCACUGAAGUAGUAGUAAGAAAAGAAACAGAAGUUGGGAACCAAAAUGGUGACACUUGUAAGAGAUUUUGUCAUUAAAGCACUGAAUACUGUUUGUUGCUUCUCUACAAAGUCUGACCUUGAAUUUGAGUCUUCUUCCAGGCCUGUCUUUGCAGAGGCUUUGUGCUGACCAGUGGGAGGACAGGGACAGGUGGGGUGCCCGAGAAGCCUCAGCAUGACAGGCAGCAUUUGUGGGGUGCUGUUAGACAUGACCUGCGGAGAAAUUGUCAUUGUGUUCUCUUCUUACCUGCUUUUUGACAGAUAAAGAAAGCUUUGCUUGUUUCUUUAAAUAAUUCUGUUAUUUAUCUCAGGAAUGCCUGUGAUGCUAACUCUGGGACAUAAGAGGAAGGUCUUUGAAAUCUCACACCCAAACUUUACAGGCUGAUUCUGUCAUUUACCAUUGCACUGGCUCUGUCACCAUGCAGCCUUCCAGAGAAGUAGGGCUUCAAUUUCUGUCAUUAAAAAAAACCCAUUUAUUAAUUUAAAAAAGAAACAUGUUCAACCAUUUUGGUUCAUCUUGAUUUCUCUUCAGUGAGCAAAUAAGGGUGCGAACCAAAAUCUUUGGUCUCUACCACAGGUGAAUAUUAAUAGGUAAGCAGGCAGUAAUUUUGUCACACUGCUCCUCUCUGGGAGAGACAAAACCACUCGUUGAACAAGAGAGGCUUAGGCAGGACAUAGGCACUGGGCUGCCCUGCAGUGGUGGGACUGACGUACUUCCCAGUGUGUUCAGAUCCUUUUCUGGGUCUCUGGAGACUGUAGUUUCAGAAAUGCAGACACUUGGGGCACAGCAGCCGGUGAGCAGGAAUGCUGGAGCUCUGAGUUCUGAGGUGGCUGGACCCUUCUGCAGGCUGUUGUGAGGAAGAGGAUAUUUGCCAGAGCAGGAAUUGGACUCGAAAGCUGCCCUGGUCUUCUGGCCUCCGAUGGCUCUUCUCUGUAUGUCCUCCCGGGUCACAGAGCUGUGCUUGAGCUGGUUCCAGAAUGGCUGGCAUGGGACAACCUGCCAGGAGCAUGGAAAGCCUGUGCUGUUGGUAACUCCCAACCCAACCUUUUGCAGGCAGCCAGCUCCCAGCUGGGGCAAGUCACUGCACCAGGCCUUCUUCUCCUUAGCAGAACAAUGUGGCUGCUUUUACCUGUUUCCUGGGCAAACGAGGGGUGUUUGGCUGCUGUACUGAGGGGCAGGGUUGUAGCAAUCACAUCGCCAGGCUUCAGGCACUUGCUGUGGGGGUCCCCUUUGGGUUUUCUUGGCUGGGUAGUGUGGGAUGGGAGCUGGUGAGCUCUCCCUCCACUGGCCUCCCAAGGGUCCCAGUGCCUCUGGCUGGUUUUGCCUGCUCCCACGUGAAUAUUGCCAGAUUCAGGGCAGAGGGACAGUAGAGCAGCAGCAAUUUCAUACUUUAAAGGCUAUUUCUAAAGAUAACAGGCUAAUAAAAACUGGUUUGCUCAGGCAAGCUUUUUUUCUGCUGGUAUUAAAACAAACCCAUUUAAAUAAUUACAACAUUUUCCCUAUAUUUCCUUUCCCUGCCAUUUUUCACAGACUCCACAGCAGUAUUACCUGCCUGCUAUUGCAAUAUAUUCCAAAUACAGUAGAGCAUCUGAUGCUGAGCAGCUGUUGUAUUUCUGUCUAGAAGAGCUCCAUGUUGCCAUGAUUACCUCGAUUGUAGAACAUGGGCUGUUUUACCUGUUGCAAGUGAAAACUUAGCAAUUCAUAGAGUAGCGUUAUUUCACUUUGCCACCAAGGGUUACCUGUCCUGAAGGAGCAGCAGGCUGUGUGGGCACACACGUAUCAGGAUGCAGUGGCUGCAGUCCCAGCACCUGGCAUUGUACAGGCCCUUGUCACAGAGAAGGUCCUUCAGUGCAUUAGUGAGGAAUUCCCUUCUGCUUUCAGAUCUGAUAGUGGUGACUUAACACUGGCUCCAGCAGCUGAGCUAGUUAAGGGAGCAGUUGUUUAGUGUGUUUCAUGGAGCUAAUGCAGUGCUAUUGCUAAAUCUUUACUGCUCUGUCACGUUAAUGCCAAAAAAGUUUCUUAAAAAACCAAACCAACCAACCACAGACCUUGCUUUUUGGCUGAGCCCCUCUCAAAUGCCCUGGGUUUUGUUCAGUUAUUUCUACUGAAUAAUUUCGGCAUAAGGUCCUUGUAAAAUUUGCUUUAGAAUGGAUUCAGUCCAGUUUUGUUUGUUAGUAAAGAACAAGUUAUAGACAGAUCUUUCUUUCUUGUUUAAUAUGUAUAAGCUCCUUUACAAGCUCUAGCCAAAGAGCAUUCAGGUAAUUACUUGAGGCACCUUUUAGUUGGAGCCACUGCUUGUAUGGGAAGUGAAACUGGUCCCAGGAGAGCGCAAGCAGCUCUUUGUGCUGUGCCCUCGGCACAGCCGGCCAAGCCCUGCCUGUUCCCCUCCACCGAGGGGACAUCUCUUGGUGCUGCAGCACUGGGGAGGAAUAACGAGGAGCAGUGUGAGAGGAGGGCUCGGGCAGCUGCCACAGCAAGGGGAGCUGAGCUGAGCUGACAUCUGUGCUUUCCCACCCUAGAGUGGAGCUGGGCAGGGAUGCAGAGGUCACGUGGCUGUUGCGGGUCACCGAUGUGUUCAAAUAAGUGCUGCAAGCUGGUGGUGAUUCAGACCUGUGUUUCCAGCUGAUGGGCAGCCUUCCUGCUUCCAGCAGAGCUUGGCUGUGCCCAAGAGGGCUGCACACAGCCUUCCUGUCCCCUUCUCCCAGCCAGGGGAACAGCAGUGACACUGUGCAUCUUUUGUGACGACCCUUGGUGUCGGGGGUCCCAGUGCCCUUCCUUAGGGCUCCCAGGGAAGGGUGUGCUGGGGAACCCAAACCUGGUCAGCAGGCAGACAGCUGAGCGCAGGGAUGUUGUGGGCUACAGGGGCUUCUGCCCUUCUGAUGGUCCUGCUCCUGCUCCCCUGCUGCAGACCAGGAAUUUUCAUUCCACAAGAGUGCUGUAAGAGCUCCUCAACCCCCUUGUCCAGCAGCACCUGGGUGCAGGGAGAGGGGCAGCACGUUUCUUCUUGCCUACAGCCCACGAAUGCAGCCUCCCACUGCUGCCCAGGCUGGCCCUACUGGGUGCUGGCAUCCCAGUACCAUGGUGACCCGCAGACAAACAGGUAACCCACUGGCAUGGCUCACGUGCUCUGGGCACACGAGGUGGGAACUGCUUUUCUUCACACGCUGCAUCAGUGUACAAAGCGAAGGCUCAGUGUUAAUCCCCCUGGGGAGCUGCCAUAGGAGCUGCCUGUUGGGACUGUGGCACCGCAAUUAGAAACAGGUAAUUAGUGAGGGAGCACAGAGGCUCUGCUCUGACACCCUGGGAGCACAUGUUCCCUUGGGAAGUGAGCAGAGCUGAGCCUGGGCAUGAGCUGUGGUUUGGGUGGAGGCAGGAGCUGGAGGACUGGCUGUGGACACUGCUGGUUCCUGUUCCUGGCCCAAGCAGAGCAUGGGUUAGUGACCAAGGCAGGAGUCCGAGGCGAUGCCCUGUGGGAGAGGGACAGGGCCCUGUGUGUGCUGUGUCCUGCUGCCACUGUCCUUUCCCUCCUCUCGGAGAGGCUCCAUUGUGCUCCUGCCCGAUAAACACACAGGAUGGAGCCAUGGCAGCAGCAGCAGCAGCAGCAGUAGUGAGGUGCCCCAGCAGUGCCUCAGAGCGCCGCAGCUCUCCUCAGAAAGAGGGAACCAUCCAAAGGCAGGGACAGCCACCGCUCCGUGAACAGCAAACCGGGUGACCUAAUUCAGCUCUGGCGGGCGGCCCUCAGCCGCUGCAUGGCGGCCGUGCCGGAGCUGACUCAUCACUUCCAGCGUGGCAGAGAUUGGAGCUUUCAGGCCCUAAGGAUUUUGCUCCUUCCUUAUUAAUUUUAAAUUGAUUAAAGUGAAUUUUUAAAAUACCAGGAGACACUUGCUUAAAGGAAUGGUUAUUAAAAAAAAGAAGGAAAUAGUUGGUCUGUGGGAGUUAACUCUGUGCUGAACGACCUCUGGCUCCUGCAGAUGUAAACACCCAUUUCAGCUUGGAGGAGUUUUAUGUCAGCUGUUCUGUCAUGGCAGAUUAGCAAGGACAGGAUUAAUCCGUCUUUAUUGUAAAAAAGUGAGAAUUAUAAAUGUCCUUGCUUAUACCCAGACACCCCCCUGGUGUCCUCAUCCAUGGCAGGGUGGUAUUACAGGCUUCUGCUCUCAGCUACAUGACUUUGUCCAGAAGUGGAGAUCUCCCAGAGAAGUGCAUCCCUGCAGGAGCAUCCUGUUCUUUCCAGCAUUGCUCAGUGCCUGACAAAGCUCCUCAUACAGUCCCGAGCCCCCCUGGGGUGGCCUGUGGGCUGUCUGUGCUAGAACAGGCUGCCAGUCCCCUGCUUGGCUUCCCGCAGAGGUUGCCAUAGCCAGCGUGGGCAGGACAGAUGGAUGGAGGAUCCUUUCUCUUGCUGUCAGAGGGCAGUUCCGGAUGAGCUUCUCCCCUGGGCUGUUCUCACCUGCUGUGCCUGCCCCAGCUCUGCCAGGGGGAACUCCCUUACACUGUGGAGCAGGAGGAUUUGCAGUGAUUUGCAGUGUAAUUGCACAACUCAGGCUUAUGCAGAUAGGUGAGGCUUUUCCCUUCUGCCUGCCCUCUUUCCCACUAGUGGGAGGUGGAUGCAGCCCAGCAGCCAGCCAGCAGCCCAGGAGUGCCCAUGGACCCACCUAAGCCAGUGCCACUAAGGACCCUUCUGUGCUGUGGUGGGCUACAGAGAUGUAGGAACCCCCUUCCUGCAGUCUGCAGAAGCAAGGUCAGAGCUCUCUCCCCAUGGGUAUUUCUCCCUGAGAGCUCAUCCUGGGGCUACCCCCUGUCAGCAUCCCACCUGCUGCUGGAGGGGGCCAGGGCUGUGCCUGCAGGGUGCACAGGGUCUGGCCCCUGGCUCACUGGCAGGGAUGGUGCUCCAUUACAGUGAACGUCAGGGCUAGCUCAGGCAGCAUAAACAGUAGAUUAAUUGAUAAAGCUUUUUGUCCUGCAAGCAAACACCAACAAAUUAAAAAUUAAAAAAAAAAAAACGAAGGUGGAAAACUCUGUGGUACUUCAGAGAAGACAGAGCAGGAAGCCAAGAGGAGUGAAGGAGCAGAAUAUGGAAUUCACCUGGAGAUAAUGAAGCAGCAGAAGUUGUCGGCCCCUUUUAUGUCUGUCUAAAAAAAGAGGCCUUUUGUUUCAGUGAAACCGAAGAAUGAAAAUUAAAAAGCUAAACAAAGCAGAAAAUUUCUGCAAAAAUAAUUUGACACUUGCUAUUGAUUGAAGGAAUGGAGCAGCAGAGUUUAACAAGUUGCAUAAAAGCACCUUUGGUCUGCUUUAAAAAUCUCUCUAAAAGAAACAGUUAUAUCACUCAUAUGCUGUUCACCUGUCUCUUCCCAUCUCUAGAUCUCAAAAGCGGAACUGCUCUAACUUCACAUGCCAAAGUAGAACCUACUUCUCCUGCCUCUGCCUUGCACUCAGCAUCCAGCCUUGCCCAUGGUGCAGUACAGCAGAUAUUGCUGUGGGAGAGCCUGGCUGGUGAGACAGUUCCUUCCUGCUCACCUCCUUGAGCAUGGAGCUGUGUCAGCUGGGAUGACUGGAGAAGCCCAUCUCUUUCCCCAUCCUCUGAGACCAGGAAAUUGAAAGUAAGGAAAUCUCAUCAGGAACAACACCCACGUGCAGGUACCAAGCCCCUGCUGCACCUGAAUUCAAUUGAUGCAAAGAAGCUGAAUUUAAAAUAUGCUCCAGAACAAAGCAAGGCCAGCUGGAGGAUUUCCUGCAGGAGAAAGGAAAAGCCUGGGGAGGCAGUGGGCCGGAAUGCUGAGCUGUGACACAUUCCUGCUGGCUACAGUCUCAUUCUGUUCCUCCCCUUACCAAGGCGGGCAAGCCCCGGGGUGUUCGCAGCGCUGCGGUGUGGCAGCGGCAGCCCGGGAAGGCGAUCCAUGCGGUGAUCCCGGCGAUCCAUGCGGGGAUUGAGUCACUCGCACAAGGUCACGCGAAUCGCUGGCGCCGCCAGGAAUAGCACCCGGAGCCUCCCGGCUCUCUCGAGCCCACCCUCGGCACUCCAGCCCGAAUUCCCCUGGUCUGAGACUUCUUCAAGCAAUGUGUCCUGCAAGGAUUAUGGACCUUUCUGCAGCAAGAUCUGAAACAGCCAGAUUCCAAUUUAAAUCAAAGUCCCUAGGAUUCACUUCUGAUUUCCAGUAAGGCUUCUUUAAGCGUGGCUCUGCUGCACACAAGAAAAUCACACCACAGGCUGGAGUGAGCCAGGAAGUCUUGUCCCCAAGUGGCUUUAUGCUCUUCAAAGAUACCUGAAGGAGCCAGAGAAGGUUUCAGGGAAUUUCAGGUGGCAGGCAGGAGUCAUGAGCCCGAGGUCCCUCCUGUGUGACGCCCCAGGUCUGUCCCGACAGCAGCGCUGGCCGGUGCUGACAGAGUAACUUCAGCUGGGAUCUGUGGUACUGCUGUGUCCCUGGCUGCUGAGAGCAGGGAAGGAGGGCUCCAUCUACUGCUGUGCGGGGAGAAGGCAAAAAUAACCGGGAUGACAUUCCUCUGCUGCACAGAAAAGCUACUGGGUACCAUGAACUCCAGGUACAGACUUCUCAGGAUUUUGCCUGCUAUCCCAGACUAACACUUCAGAAGUGCCACCAAGGAAACUUCUCUGCAAAUCUCUUUCUAUUUCAAAACUUCUUAACUGAAUAAUGUGAGUGGCCAGAUACAUUCCUGCCUGUUGAAGCUCACAAUAGAAGAAUGUUCAAAAGGAAAAGGAAAAUAUUUGGAAAGUAUUUUUUUUACUAUCACACAGACCUGGAAAUUGUAUCAGCUGAGGAGAUACACCAGUUGUUCCUUCAGCUACAUUUUUUGUGCUGGCAACCUGCCCUGCAAUUUCCAGGGACAGCAAACCUGUGAGACAGAUGCACUCACUGUGUGACUGAGGAUGCUCUCCAGCC